CCUACGGGAGGCUGCAGUGAGGAAUAUUGGUCAAUGGGCGAGAGCCUGAACCAGCCAAGUCGCGUGAGGGAAGACGGUCCUAUGGAUUGUAAACCUCUUUUGCCGGGGAGCAAAAAGCGGUACGUGUACCGCCUCGAGAGUACCCGGCGAAAAAGCAUCGGCUAACUCCGUGCCAGCAGCCGCGGUGAUACGGAGGAUGCGAGCGUUAUCCGGAGUUAUUGGGUUUAAGGGGUGCGCAGGCGGGGCGUUCAGUCAGCGGUAAAAUUUCGGGGCUCAAACCGGACGAGCCGUUGAAACUGGUGUGCUAGAGUGGGAGAGAAGUAUGCGGAAUGCGUGGUGUAGCGGUGAAAUGCAUAGAUAUCACGCAGAACUCCGAUUGCGAAGGCAGCAUACCGGCGCCCAACUGACGCUCAGGCACGAAAGCGUGGGUAUCGAACAGGAUUAGAUACCCCGGUAGUC
rnacentral:rRNA from 1 species